CAGCAGCCAGAGCACCAUCUGUGCACACAGCUUAUCCAUACCUCCUGCCUUCGGCACAAAGGAAUGUGUCAGCUCCCGCUUUUCCAGAUCAGCUGAAAGCCUCCUUCGUGCUCCAGUGAAAUUCUGCAACCGUUCCCUGAAGAUCUAAUCCCUUCACCCCGCACGUCCGACUGGCACAGCCCUUCCUUCGGCAAGAAGCUCUUCCUGCAGCGCUGCUUUUGCAGGCUGGAGCUGGGAAGGUUCAGCUGCUCUUCAGUGUCACCUCCCUGCCCCGCCAGUUGCAGAACGAUCAUCUCAGCGUCCUGGGGAAUGUGUCACCAGCUUCACCUACUUCUGAGAGCUUGUGGAUGCCAUAAAAACUUCACAGGAGUCACUGGAGAUGGAUCUCCGUGGUCUGUGCGGAGCCAUCAGCUGUGUCCCCAUGCAAACGUGGACUUGGCAGGCACUUUCUGAACAACAGUUUGCAGGAGGAAAGCAUGCAAACGAGAAAAUGAGAACCAAGGAGGGCAGAAGAGAGGGUUUCAAGACUUUUUGUCCUAGGACAAAAUCUACUUCUUUGAAACACUUCAUAAAUAUCAACACCCCACUCCCCCAAGAAAAAAGCAAGCAGACAGCAACAACUGGCUGAACACUGGUCUUUCUAGAAGCAGCUUAAUUACAGCAACUUUUGAUUAAUAACAUUAAUAGCAACACUUACAGAAUCAAUCAUUGCUAAUUUCUUUCCUAUUUUAUAUAAAGAAUAAACUCUCUAACGUGAACCUCAGCCAGAGCCUGUUGCAGAAAUCAACCUUCCCAGUCAAAAAAAAAAGUGAAGUCAGGUGUGAGAAGAGAAAAACAAAAUGCUUUCUAUACCCUUGUGCUUUCGCUGGUGGAGAAACUCUUUACAAAUUCCAGUGACAGGCAAUUUCUGGCCGAGGACUUUUACCAACAGCCAGUACAUUUACCGAUUGCUGGAAGCCCCCAAGUGAAGACCAACAAAAGAUCUAAGAGCAGAGUCCUCAACACAUAGCCUGUGGAUCUGCCGGGGUGCUUUAAAAUCUAGCGCAGGUUAUUUGAAAGGAUUUGUCAGGGCUCUUGGCUGUCUCUGGUGCCGUGGGACCGUGCUCCUCUGUGGCAGCACUGCCUGUCCCUGCCUGGCUCACCAUGUAGCUGCCCUCGCCCCCCCAGACUCGCCUUCCCCUGGGGAGCAGCCCAGCUCUUGCGGCUCCCCAACGGAGUUGUGUAUGAGAUGAUUUUAAAACAAUCCCUUUAAAUGUCAAAGCACUUUCCCCAGCUGAACAUGUUACAUGGUAACGCAUUAUUUCUUGGCCCUUGGUUCAAGGCCAGACAGGACAUUUUAUGGUCAGUGUGGGAAAAGGAGCAAGAAUUUUUUCCUGCU